rnacentral:lncRNA from 10 species
UUCUGUCUUUUAUUUCUUAGCUGAUGUCAUGAUGUCAGUGGAAAAGCAAAUGAUCAUUUGGGAAUAUCCAGUGAUCUCAAUACCAGUCUAUUACUUGCUGCCAGUGAAAAUGGCCAAAAAAUAUUGUUCUAGCAUCCUAUAGGUAUUAACUGAAUGCUCACAACAACCUUCUGAGAGAUGGGGAGGGAUGGAUGGGCUGUGAGGCCCCCCAGCCAAGAAGCUGGAAGAACUUUCUCGAAUCCUGCAGAGCUGCUCAGGGGCCUGCCUUGUAUCUGCCUGGCUGUUCCAGGGAGGUUGGAAGACAAACUGAAGGCUUUCCAUUGCUGAACAUCAGACCUCAGAAGUACUGACUGGAGGGCUCCCAAGCUGGCUCAGAUCAGCCUCAUAUUGCCCCGAACAGUAUCAUCACCGCUUUGCCCUGGUGGGGAAACUACUCUUUACCCUCUGUAUGAACCUAUGAAGCACGCAGGUCACUGGGGCAAUUUCUGAGUUUGAAGUUGCUUGGAUUUGCCAUUGCUGCUAUGUUGAAGGGAAGGGAGUGCUUUUGAAGAAAAUGUUCAUCUCUAGUUCCAGUAACAGGCAUGGAAUUGACACAUAACAGGUGUUUGUUGAAUUGAGCUGAAUAAAUUAGAAUCUGGGGCAAAAUAUAGUUGUUCUUUAUAGUCCUAAGUCUAUUAAUAAAGCAGAUAUAUCCUUAUUACAUGUUUUACUGCCAUAAAUGUGUCUACCAGAACUAGGAAUAAUGACAGACGGAAGGGUUGAGGAUUCUUUCUGACGAUAACCUGCCAGGACACCCGCUUCCUCCCUCCCUGUCCAGAUGGGGUGGACUACAGUGCUCUGGCUCACACCAGGGGUGGAGGUAUUCCCAUUAUUUGUCUGUUUUGUUGUCUGUAGUGCUUAGUCAGAAUGCUGCCUGAUACAUUGCAG